rnacentral:rRNA from 1 species
AAUAGACAUGCAAGUCGAGCGAACAGAAGGGAGCUUGCUCCCGGAUGUUAGCGGCGGACGGGUGAGUAACACGUGGGUAACCUGCCUGUAAGACUGGGAUAACUCCGGGAAACCGGAGCUAAUACCGGAUAGUUCCUUGAACCGCAUGGUUCAAGGAUGAAAGACGGUUUCGGCUGUCACUUACAGAUGGACCCGCGGCGCAUUAGCUAGUUGGUGGGGUAAUGGCUCACCAAGGCGACGAUGCGUAGCCGACCUGAGAGGGUGAUCGGCCACACUGGGACUGAGACACGGCCCAGACUCCUACGGGAGGCAGCAGUAGGGAAUCUUCCGCAAUGGACGAAAGUCUGACGGAGCAACGCCGCGUGAGUGAUGAAGGUUUUCGGAUCGUAAAGCUCUGUUGUUAGGGAAGAACAAGUGCGAGAGUAACUGCUCGCACCUUGACGGUACCUAACCAGAAAGCCACGGCUAACUACGUGCCAGCAGCCGCGGUAAUACGUAGGUGGCAAGCGUUGUCCGGAAUUAUUGGGCGUAAAGGGCUCGCAGGCGGUUUCUUAAGUCUGAUGUGAAAGCCCCCGGCUCAACCGGGGAGGGUCAUUGGAAACUGGGAAACUUGAGUGCAGAAGAGGAGAGUGGAAUUCCACGUGUAGCGGUGAAAUGCGUAGAGAUGUGGAGGAACACCAGUGGCGAAGGCGACUCUCUGGUCUGUAACUGACGCUGAGGAGCGAAAGCGUGGGGAGCGAACAGGAUUAGAUACCCUGGUAGUCCACGCCGUAAACGAUGAGUGCUAAGUGGUUAGGGGGUUUCCGCCCCUUAGUGCUGCAGCUAACGCAUUAAGCACUCCGCCUGGGGAGUACGGUCGCAAGACUGAAACUCAAAGGAAUUGACGGGGCCCGCACAGCGGUGGGAGCAUGUGGUUUAAUUCGAAGCAACGCGAAGAACCUUACCAGGUCUUGACUUCUCUGACACCCUAGAGAU